rnacentral:lncRNA from 1 species
GGCUGAUUAGGUCUAAGCCCACUUGCCAAAAAGACCUAACUUAAUACUCUAUACUUCAUCAUCACAUUCCUUAUUUUCCCUAGCUCCUGUCACUGCAACUCCCACUUUCUUCUUCUUCUUCUUCUUUGAAUCGUCAAUGUUAUUGUUGAUGGUGUGUUGUUUCAUAGAAGAAUAGUCAAAUGACCAAGGUAAGCUGCUUACCUCUUUCGAAUAUUUGAUUUUGACACUUAUUUUUCUUCUAAAAUCUCAAUCUUCGGCUGGUUGGGAUGUCUCUAUGUAGUGAUGUUGAAGGAGGAUGCCAUUCAGAGUUUCCAAUUCUUCCACAGGCGAGGCUCUAGCACAUGCAUUCAUUUUUUGUAAACCCUCUUCCCUUACUAACUUCCAUUGAAUUUUCGUCAACAGAUGACUAAUGGACAUGUUGUUUCUUUGCUAAUUUGGGCUUGUAGAUAACCUUCUAUGCUUAAGAAAAGAUAUGGCGUGCCUUCCUUAUGUUUUUGGUGAUUUCUUUUAUGUCCUAAUAUAGAUUAGCCAAUCUGAUUUAGCAACAUUAUAUCAUCUGUCUCUUUUGUCAUAUGAUAAAUUUCUAGUAUCUUCUAUAAAUAUUUCCAAUGUAACUAUAGCAAAUUAUAAUUUUGUUUAGUACAAAAACUAAUUCACUUCAUUUACAAUUAAUUGGUACCCAUCUAUUUAAUGAAAACUCACCCUAUUCUAUACUCUCCAAAUUCGAACAAAAAACAAAUAAUUAUGCAUAUCCCACUUAGUAUCCCCUUUCUCAUUUAUUUUUAUAUAUAUACACAUUACAAAUUGUAACAUCAUCAUCAAAAUUGAUAAUUUUCUACAAGUAUUAAGGCAUGACUGAACCAAACUUUAAAAGAGUUCAUAAUAUAGUAGAAUAAGAAAUUUUGAGAAACUAAGAUCUGACCAAUUUGAUAAUGAAAAUCCUCCAACUUCUCCUAUAUUUUAUCCUAAGAAAAAUUUGAGAUGAAAGUGGUGAUUGUAAUAAGCAAUCACUAAUUUUUUGUUUUGCAUAUUGCUCUUUUCUUUUUACAAUGUAAUGAUGAGAGUUAACUUUUCUAUGUUUGAAAAUAUUAUAAAUUUUAAAAACUGAUUCAUUACAUUUUUAAAUGACAUGUUCCUAUGAUCAUAAAAAUGUCGUGGUAUGUAUACUUAAGAUUACAAGAUAUAAGAGUACUUUUGAUACAUUCUAAAAGGUUGUUUUCUCUUUCUUUAAUUCCGUAUCUAUUAAACUUCGUCAUAUAAAAUGAAUAGAAGGUACACAAUUUUACUUUCAUAAAAAAGACCUAUUGUACACCUCAAGUAUUAAAAAUGAUCUUAAUAUACCCUUGUUUUAGGUGUUAAAGUAUUCUUCUCUUUUAUAUACAGACUCUAUUUUACCCUUUCACUUAACAGAAAACUUUUUAAAAAAACUAUUAGUAUUUUCAAUCAAUAUUUGGCAGUUUUUUAUUGGUUGAAAUUUUAAUUAACUAAAACCUUAAUAAUCUCCAAUCUCAAUCCGAACCCCACUUACUAUCCAAGAUGCUUUUUGGGGACUUACCUUAGUAGAAAGUUGAUAAAUCUUUGGUUAAAAAGUAUGGUAGAGUUUUUGCUUGAGAAAGAACUAUUCGUUUUAUGUGAUUAAAACCAUUUGACUUGACCGAAAGUUUAUUUAACAUUCCUAAAUUUAGAAUAUCUACAUAUUACAUCAAACCCUAUGAUUAUGGCAUGGAAUCUGAACCAUAUAAGAAAGGUUUCUAAUGAUAUCCAGAUGAUAGAUAGGGUUGCUUCUUAUUUCGUCCCACUAAUCUAACACUGUAAAAAUUAUAGCCAGACAUAUAGUAGAGAAGGAACCUUUAUCUUAAUGAACACCUACAUUAAAGUAAGCUUAUUAUCAAAUUUAUUAUAAGUUCUUUUGUACCCUUGAUCAACAGUUAGUAGUUGAUUAUUUCAUCUAGUGAGACUGAAAUCAUACGUGAUAUAGUUCACCUUUGAUCAAAUUUUAUUGUUACCAGGUAAAAUUGAUUGACCACCAACUAUAGAGAAAGGCUAUAAAGAAAUUUAUAAUCAUUUUGAUGAUAAACGUAAUUACUUUACUAUGGCUAUUCAGUCAGCUAAUGAUUUCCUUUUCUACUAUAUAUCUAACUAUAAUUCUUAAGUUGUUGGAUUAGUGGGAGGCAAUGGAAAGCAGCCGUAUUUAUCAUCUAGAUAUCAUUAGGAUACUAUCUCAUACAGUUCUGAUUGAUUGCCUUAUUCAUGGAGUUUGAUGUACUAUGUAGAAAUCUAAAAUUUAGGAAUGUUAAAUCAAUUUUUGGAUAAAAUAGUUUAGUAAAAUCAAAUAGUUUUAAUCCCACAAAAUAAGCAGUUCUUUCACAAACAAAUACUCUACCACACUUUUUAAGAAAAGUGAUCAAUUUUCUACAAAGGUAAAUUCCAAAACAAGCAUCUUGGACGGUAAGUGAAAUUCGAAUUGGGUUUGGGGGUUAUUAAGUUUUUAAUUAAUUAAAUUACAAACAAUAAGAAACUAACACGUGUUGAAUGAAAAUACUAUUUCUUUUAGUCUCUGUUAAGUAAAAGGAUAAAAGUAGAGUCUGUAGGUGGAUGGUAAGGAUAUUUUAGAACUCAGAGAUGGAAGAAUGGUAUGUUAGGAUUAUUUUCAAUACUUGAAGGAUAUAUUAGAACCCUUUUUUAUUCUAUUUCUCCGUCAUUUAUGUACUAUUUUCAAAAUGGUGAUUUUCUACUGAUGCAGAAAUAGGAAGUUCCCUGAAUAUGCUAUUGAGGAUUCAUCAAACGUACUUAGCAAUGGAAACUGAAGUUUUUCUAUAUAAUAGAAAAAGUAAUUUUCAUAUAUGUUAACAAAAAUUCAUUAAAGGGAACGUAUUAGAGUCAGUUCAGUAUACCUACUACUGAUGUAUUAUACUAAUACGUGUAUAAGGUACUUACCUGUUGCAAGACACGUCUCAGUAUCUUCAUAUGUCCCUAUAUGCUGUCUAUCUCCUAUCUUUCUCCUGUGUGAAAUAUAGAGAGGAUGAGGAAAUAUAAGCUCUCUUAGAUUUGUGUACAUGUGUUCUACGUAUCAAUUUUUUUAUACUACUCAAUUUUGUUAGUUGCUUAUUUGGGAUUUUUAUUUAGAGGUUAGCAGCCCCAUAUACAUCGCAGUGGUAUAUAAUUUGGCGCGGAUGGAUACAAAAUUUUGAUUCCAAUUUCUUGCUUGAUCUAUCCAUGCAUGUAUUCAAAUAGAUAAGUUGGUUCAUGUCCAUGUAUGAUUUUGGAUUACUAUUUCUUAGUGUCUUUUUUAUUUUUCUCCACAAAUUAUAAUCGUAAGUAUAUUUUCAUUCAAGUAAUUUGCAAUCAAGUUAAGUGUUUCAUCACAUACAAGUAUCACUUACUUGCCCCAUACCUUUCGAAAGUGGAAAACUACAAUUAAAAACUCAAUUUAAAGGGGAAGAAAGGAAUUCUACUAUACCCAAAUUAAACUUAAUAGAUUGUAUUAACCUUUUAUUUCAAGUUGUGUUAAGAAUAGAACAGAACACAAAGAGUUUGUUGAAAUUGUAUUGCUAAAAUUAGGGGAAAAGAAGCAUAAGAAAAUGGAGAGUAUAAAUUCAAAACAUGCAUUUGAAAAUCAAGUUUUUGCGUAUUUAUAUGUUGCAAACAAAAGAAAGAGAAAUAUAAAAAACUACAAUCUUCAAUAUGCAAGACAUGUAUGCCCUUGUCUUCAACUUUUAGUUAUUAUUAUGAUUUCUCUUCAAUUUUUGGUGUGUGUUUUAGUUAUAUUUUUUAAAUUCUGGGUUGGCGCUUCUCUUCAUCCUCAAUUAUUUCUAAUGAAAGAAGACUCAAUUCUUCUAGAAUAGGAUCGCACUUUUGAUUCUUCUAACUAAACUAGAUUUGGUUAAAAGAUCUAUGGAGUUUUUCUUUUCAAUUAUAAGAAAUUUCUUGAUUAUGGGUCUUUGUUGAAUAAAGAUAUUUGAGGUGAAAUACAAAACAAAUUUUGAAAAUUGUAUUCCAAAAGAAAAUUACUAUAAGUAUUUACACGAAUUAAUCAAUCAAUUAUGGCGUAUGCCCAAAAGAAAAGAAGGAUUAUAGUGGAAAUUAUUUGUGAAAGGUACAUACCUCCAUUUAACUAUCCUAAACUGAGCCCGAACUCCCAACUAAUAAAAGCAUUUAACUAUCCAAAACUGAGUCCAAACUCCCAACUAAUAAAAGUAAUCUUUCUGCAUUUGUGCCCUACUUUAUGAAGGAAUUUCUCAACUACUACAUUAAAAUUUUGCAUAUAUCCAUAUGGACUAUGAUUAGUAACUAGGUUGUUCGCAAGAUGGGAGCAUUAGAAAAUUAAGAUAACUAUGGUCUUAUCUUGAAUAAAUAAAUUAUGUUACUGUGAGUUGCUUCAUCUUUUGUUACUUUCUCCUUGCACCUCUCUUGGUUUUCAAAUUUUAAAGUACGUUUAUCAGUUGAAGAAUAUGAAUCUAGAUGAGUUGCUUUUAUGAAAAAAUCAUUUAUUCUCUUGAGAAUUAUGUUGAUGCAUUUAUGCUUGAAAUGUAAUUUAAACGAGUUGUCUUAAUGAGUAAGAUGUUGGAUUGUUUCUUCCACAUUUUUUUUAGUCAGAAUAUGCUAAAAUUAUUAUAUUUGUAUAGAUUAAAGAUUCCAAAAUAAUUAUAUUUGUAUAGAUUAAAGAUUUUUGUUUUAUUGAUUUCCACGGGUAUAUGUUCCUUCACUGGCAUAGUUUUUUUCAGAUUUUGUCCUUACAGUUAAGCAAACUUUUACUCCUGAAUUAUCUACUGUUAUAUUUUAACGCAUGAGAUGGAUUCAAAAUUUACUUGUACGAGUAACGAUUUAAAAACCACAUACGAUCUUCUCUAUGAUGCGUACAUAAACUAGUUAGUUUUAAAUUUCUUUUGUCUUGAUUCUUGCUUUUAUUUUAAAUCUUGACUUAUCUAUAUGAAUUAAGGCUUUGAAUUUAUAUUCUGGUAUGGCUGUUAUAGUGAUAGUUCCAUUAAAUUUUAGUUUUCCAUUAGUUUUGUUCUACUUCAUUCGUUUUGGGAUUUAAUGUAUAGACUUACAAUUUCAUGUAUUCACUUACAAUGGCAUUUAAUGUAUGCACUUACAAUUUCAUUCUAAAGAUAUAGAAGGCAUUUAGUGUUAUCACCUUUUUUUCUUUUUUAAAAUUAUUUCCCUGCAUUCCCUAAUCAAAGCCACCUACUAUAGGUUUACUUGUUAAUGAUUGAUUAUAUUUGAUAGAUUACUUUUGGAAAUAAUUCUCAAUGAUUUGUGAAGAUGUAACACUAAAUUUAAAAAAAAAUAGUAUAUUGAAGCCGCUAAUAAGUUAAUUUCAAAAUUGAAAAUGAAAUAACUUGUAAGUUAUUGUGUAACCUUCAAAUACUAUAACAAGUUUGAUCUAUACUCAAAAGAAUGUUAUCUAUCCACUUACCUCUUGCUAAUCGAAUUACUGUUUGGUAAUGGAAAAAAACAAAUAUACGUAAUUCUAACUAAAGGUAUAUUAUUUCACCCAUGAGGUAGAAGUGUGUAGCGCUGACUAGAUUUCACUUGUAGUUGUUGGGUAUACCGAUUGAAAUCAAUUAGUUACCAAUCGGGCUCAACCCAUAUGGACAACAAUCUGAGAUGCCAUGAUAUGAAUGAAGAAAGGAAAAUUUGGUUGAUUAUUUUUUUUAACAAUUACGUCAUAUAUCAGUUUUUUUGGUUAUUUUAUUACACCACCAAAUUUAAUUUUUUCAAAACAAUUAAUUGUUUUGGACUUUUCGUUGAUAUCGAUAUGAUCUGAUAAGUUUUUGAUGAUUUUUUUUAAGAUCCAUCUUAAAGUCAUACCAUUUGUUUAAUACGUGAUUAAAAAAAAAGGAGAAAAGUUACUGCAACUUUCAUUUAGCAUUUACUAUUUUUGUCUUAGUCUUGGUAGCUGUUGUUUAGUCCUUAAGUUUCUCUUAUUAGUUGAAAGCACUACUGAGUUAGUGCCUAUAUAGUGCAGUUAGUACCCUUUGUUUUUGCAUCUUUAGUUGAGUUGUAAGCUAUUUAUAAGAGUUUAUCAGGGAUGAAUGAUAUAGGAAAAAAAAUAGUCUUGCGAUUCUAGAAAACUCUCUACCAUUCUAUUUCCCUGCUAGUUUUUUUUUUCCUUUCUAAUAUUUUGUUCUUGAGUGAGCUUGAGAUCUUUUCUCCAACAUCAUUGGUAUCAAAGAUAGGUUUAUAUUGUAGUGAUCUUAUUAAUAGUUAAAAAACCCAUGGCUUCCAAUGGAAAUCCAUUGAACAUAUCUCAGUCUUCCAUCCCUGUUUUUACAGGACAAAGUUUUCAGUUCUGGAGAGUCAAGAUGAAGACUUUAUUUAAGUCAAAAGAUCUUUGAGACUUGAUUAAGACAGGGUAUGCAGAUUCGAAUGAAGAGUAGUGGCUGAAGGAAAACAAAAUAAGGACAGAAAGACUUUGUUAUUCCAUCAACUAGCAGUCAAUGAAAUGGUGUUUUCCUGAAUUGCAGCAGCCACAACUUUGAGGAUAGCAUGGAGAAUUUUAUAAAAUGAAUUUCAACGUUCCUCAAAGUAAUAGUUGUAGAACUCCAAACUUUUCGUGUCAAGACCUGUGCCGAGGCCCUGGCCGCGAUGAGCAUCCCAAAACAUGAUGGCCCGAGCUCCCCUUUCUAUUUGGAAAUCAUAAAUAUCAGUCAUAAACAAUAAAGAAAAAUGCAAAAAAGUAAACGAAUGGAAUCAUAGUCAUGUAUUGAAUUCAAUUUAACAAUACAGACUGAAAUCCAUAAAUAUCUAGAUAACAUCUACUUCAGUUUGCAAAAUCUCUUAUACAUCAAAAAUUAACAACUUGUCUAAAACUGGGACAAGACCCCCGAUAGGACCAUGAAUGAAAAUAAAAUAAUAAUGACACGUUUCAGAACUAGGCCUAUCAAAGUAAGGGAGGCUCACUGACUGCAAACUUAUGACAAGUCAAUAUACUGCUUAAAGAGACCCCAGGACUGUGUCUCAGAAUCCUGAAAUAUUGGAGGUCAAAACAAAUGUAUUGGUACGCAGAGCAAUCUAAAAGAAUAUGCUUUAAUAAAUAACAUAAGUG